UCUUCAAAACAAGAUCAAAAGAAGUUUGAGUGGUGCAGAAGCCCUAGAGCAAUGUAAUGGGUGUCAAGAAGCCUGGUGGCUGAUGUUCCCUCUCUUUCUUACUUCCUGUGAGAGUCCAAGCAAAGCCUUCCACGUCUGUGACCUCUCUCAUUUCUUCCUGUUGGACAAACCUGUGCAAAAAGAAACUGUGAACUCUUCUCUAGAAUCAUGUGAUUUGCUUUUCAAAAUACAAUGAAAGGUGAUGUUUUCACAAGCAUCCAGACAAAAUGGGACAUAAGAAGAAUAUUGAUUAUCACCAGACUGGAAAUAAGAGUUGUGAAACUUGGCGACUCCAAAGUCUAAUCACUGAAACAUGACUUCUGGGUUGAAAGAAAACGCAUAAAAAGAACACCACAUU
rnacentral:lncRNA from 1 species